UAUCUUUGCAGCCACUUUAAGAAGAAAUCUUAUCGUGAAGUCAGAUCAUCUGACGUACAUAAUAUUCAUUAUAAAAUAAUUUUGGCAUG
ncrna:Nonlabens ulvanivorans S15-Flavobacteria ribosomal protein leader